rnacentral:rRNA from 1 species
UACGUAGGGUGCAAGCGUUAAUCGGAAUUACUGGGCGUAAAGCGUGCGCAGGCGGUGAUGUAAGACAGAUGUGAAAUCCCCGGGCUCAACCUGGGACCUGCAUUUGUGACUGCAUCGCUAGAGUACGGUAGAGGGGGAUGGAAUUCCGCGUGUAGCAGUGAAAUGCGUAGAUAUGCGGAGGAACACCGAUGGCGAAGGCAAUCCCCUGGACCUGUACUGACGCUCAUGCACGAAAGUGUGGGGAGCAAAAGGG